CGCCGUCUGGUGCCAGCAGCCGCGGUAAUUUCAGCUCCCUGCCGUAUAUUAAAGUUGACUCAGUUUAAAAGCUCGUAGUUGAACCUUGCGCCUGACUGGCCGUCGUUUUACAACGCGUGUACUGGUCCGGCCGGGCCUUUCCUUCUGGGGAGCCGCAUGCCCUUCACUGGGCGUGUCGGGGAACCAGGACUUUUACUUUGAAAAAAUUAGAGUGUUCAAAGCAGGCCUUUGCUCGAAUACAUUAGCAUGGAAUAAUAGAAUAGGACGUGUGGUUCUAUUUUGUUGGUUUCUAGGACCGCCGUAAUGAUUAAUAGGGAUAGUCGGGGGCAUCAGUAUUCAAUUGUCAGAGGUGAAAUUCUUGGAUUUAUUGAAGACUAACUACUGCGAAAGCAUUUGCCAA
rnacentral:rRNA from 1 species